rnacentral:rRNA from 2 species
GAGUUUGAUCUUGGCUCAGAGCGAACGCUGGCGGCAGGCCUAAUACAUGCAAGUCGAGCGCACCUUCGGGUGAGCGGCGGACGGGUGAGUAACGCGUGGGAAUGUGCCCUUUGGUACGGAACAACUGAGGGAAACUUCAGCUAAUACCGUAUGUGCCCUUCGGGGGAAAGAUUUAUCGCCAUUGGAGCAGCCCGCGUUGGAUUAGCUAGUUGGUGGGGUAAAGGCCCACCAAGGCGACGAUCCAUAGCUGGUCUGAGAGGAUGAUCAGCCACACUGGGACUGAGACACGGCCCAGACUCCUACGGGAGGCAGCAGUAGGGAAUCUUGCGCAAUGGGCGAAGCCUGACGCAGCCAUGCCGCGUGAAUGAUGAAGGUCUUAGGAUUGUAAAAUUCUUUCACCGGGAAGAUAAUGACGGUACCCGGAGAAGAAGCCCCGGCUAACUUCGUGCCAGCCGCCGCCGU